rnacentral:lncRNA from 1 species
UGUGGAUAAGUACACCAAAGGAGAAGGAACAGAAAGUUGGGUUUCAAGCAAUAUCAACAAGGGACACUAUGAGUAUUACUACUGGCUUCUUGCUCUAUUGACAGCUUGUAAUCUGCUUUAUUUUGUGGCUUGUUGCUGGCAAUAUGGACCUUCUGCUGAUGUUGACAUCACUAAGAGAAUGAUGGAGCUUAGUGAUGAUGAUGAUCAUCUUCCAUAGUGGAAAGACUCAGGCAAACUCAACUGAAAAAACUCAGGUAAACUCGGUGAAAUGCGCCAAAUUAUGCUUGUUUACCACAGUCAAAUUAUACAUUGAGAUACUAAUAUACACUUAUGAAGCUAUAAAGCUUAUGAAAAUGAUGUGUGGUCUUCACUUAUUGAUUUGAUGCCUGUUUAUGGUUUGGAGGUGAGCAAGGUUUGGAACAACUCACCUUCCCCGUAGCAUUUCGAGGCAGCGAGUCCCACACAGACAGGCAGUAGGUAUCUGUUACAUAAGUUGAACGACAAACAUUAGUUUAGCAGGCAUAUCUUGGUACUCGAGUAUAACAUUUAUCUUGCAUAAGAACCAAAUCACAAAACAAUACUUUCUGUCCCAAGUUAUAGUUAAUCAAUAUCAACAAAGUAAGCGCAUAAAUUCCUUAUCCCUGGAAUGGAAGCAGAAAGAAGUCAUGGAAAUAAUUAUUCUCGUUAAGAAAGAUUCAAAAGGGGAAUGAGGCAAGAAUAUGCCUUCUGAAAAGUUUGCAUAAUCUCUUGUAAACAAUGAUAUUGUAUAGGCAGAUGAUAUUCAGAAUAUCGAUUGGUAUUGAAAGAAGUAUCAAUGAACAUACCUAUCAGCUAGCUCUAACUUUUUUAAGGACAACGGAAUAGGAGAGUGUCUAACCUAAUACAAAGAGCAAAGGAGCCUAAUAAACUACACAAUAGAAUUUGAAAAUGCAUUCUAUUUCCUUCAUUGUUUCUGAUUCAUUUAACAGUCAGAAUUAGUUAUUCCAUAAAGGAUUACAAGUCUUUAGCACCCCACCCUACAUCAACAACUAAGCUUAAAUGCUACCAAGGUAUCGGCUAUAUGAAUCCUCAGACUAUGGUGUUGCAUUUAGAGCAAUAUCAUACAAAACAAAAAUAGAAACAAAAAGGCAAUGUUCGUUUCUCCUUGCCCCACCCGAAUAAAAUAAUAAGAAAAUACAAUACUAUUAGCACAAAAUUUAAUCGCCAAGAGCAAAAUCUUCGUUAUAGAUAAGCUAAAUGCCAUACGAGAUUGUUUGAAAGUUAACAAAAUUCAAAUUGUUACCAUUUCUCAAUCUCAACAAAGGCGAAUGAUGCACAUGAAAAAUUAAUAAUUCCAUUUUGAUUGGGCGAUCGCAUAUAAAAACACAGAGAAUGAGAAUUAUUGAAAUUGACAAGGUUCGAUGAAGAACAGAAUAACAUUCACUUACCGGAAGUGAAAAGCCGAAAGGUAGGGUUUGUAGGAGAAGAAAAACAAUAUGCAUUGAAAAAGGGAGAGCAAUUGAAACGAAAGUGGUUGAGUAACUCUUCUGUUUGCCCUUCACCUCUCCAAAUUCAAUACUGCCGACGGUCAGGUGAUCGGGAAAAUUUUGCACAAGGCGCCGAUUGUAAAGUGGUUGCUGCCUAAUACGGUUAACUGGUAGUAGUAGUAGUAGUGAUGGGUCCUUUUAAUUAAUUAAUUUAUUUUGUAUAGAGCGCUUUAAUUGGUUGUUGAUCAACAAAAAGAAUGAGAAGAAAAAGAGAGUGAAGAUAAUUGGGCCUAGAGCAUUUCUUUAAAUAAAAAGAAAAUUUCAUUAUAACUGAAAUGGAACAAUAUUACAAACAGGUGCUUGAAUUAAAAGGAUAUAAACUUCAAACAUGAAAAGAAUUUGGUAAAAAAUUAAAAAUUACAACCUUAAUUUAAACAAGGGAAAAGGGUCAAAAAUGCCCUUAUACUAUGUGAAAGAAACAAAUAUGCCCUCCGUUUAUAGUUUGGCUCAGAAAUGCCCUUACCGUCAAUACUUUGGCUCAAAAAUGCCCUUGCAGUCAAUACUUUGGUCCAGAAAUGCCCCUAUAGUUAAAAAAUGGGUCAAAAAUGCCCUUUUCUGAAUAAAUAUAUAUUUUUUUUCUUUUUAAACACAUAUUUUUCCUGAUUAAAAUAUUAUUAAAGAACACUAUUCUUGUUUUCUUUCUUUUAAAAUCACUUUAACAAAUAAAAGUGUAGGAAAUAUUUUUUUUCUUCUUAAUCUCAUUUUAUCAAUUAAAAUAGAAUAACUUCAUGUACCCUUUCGACAAAUAAUAUAUGUCAUAUAUAUACUACCAUGGUAUAUCCAUCAUUAAUUUAUAUUUAUAUAACGAUAAAAAAAUAAUGAUAAUAAAAUAAGAAAUAUUUUCAUUUUUUAUUUUUUUCUAUACUGAAGUAAGAUAAGCAUUUGCUAAUUUUUAAAAAAAACAUUCAUUGAAAAAGAAUGUGUUAAAAAGAAAUAAUAAUAUAUUAUUUGGAAAAUGAGUCUGAUCAAUUAAAUAACAAAUAAGGGUAUUUUUGGACCAAAGUAUUGACGAUAAAGACAUUUUUGGACCAAACUACAAACGGAGGGCAUUUUUGUUCCUUUCGCAUAGUUUAAGGGCAUUUUUGAACCAAAGUAUUGACGGUUAGGGCAUUUUGAGCCAAACUAUAAACGGAGGGCAUUUUUGUUCCUUUCACAUAGUUUAAGGGCAUUUUUGACCCUUUUCCCUUUAAACAAUAACAAAAAUCAGUACUCUUCAAUUUACUUGUACAUGGAUUGUACUGAGGGAGCUUGAUUCAUUUGCUGGUUUCCAUAUUGCUGCUGAGCAACGAUGCCAUUCCAACCUCCAUUAAGUUUUACAGACCCAUAUUAACAAUUUGAUUCUCUUUAAAAUGUCACUCUUAUAAGUUAAUAGAGGUGUAUCUCAUUAUUUUCGACUUGAACUAUAUAUGUACUUAUGUGAAAAACAUUUGAAAAUGCAUGCAUAUAAUAAGAUUACGUUCAUUCUGAACUCACUGACUCUAGUUUCUAGAUUUGCCUAUGACAAAGCAGAACAUUAAUAGGAAAGACGAUUUCAUACCUAGAGCUGGAUCGAGUCCCCUAAUACGAAGCUCUCUGAACUCUUGACAGAGUGAACAAAAUGGACAAAAGAUGUGAGAAACUACAUCUGAAUAGGGAGCUUCCACCAGAUUGUACCUCUGCCUCAACUUUGUUCUGUAUUUGGAGCCCAUGAUCCAUUGAGAGCAAACAGCAGGCAUCAUCAAGAGGUACAUAAAAGACCCCAAUGGACAAGCUGCAACCAUCACCCAAAAAACACAAAGAAUUACUAACACACUUCUUUUAAAAGGCAAAUUGGAUAGAUUUAGAGAAUAACUCACUCAUUUCUCCUGCAUCUUGAACUUCAGCUAUCUGUCCAAACGUCACACAAGGUAAAAACGCUGUCAUGGCAGCUGCACAAACAACAAUGUUUAAUAUUAAUAUCAUUGCUACAUAAUAGCUACAGUAUCUAAAAGGAGGAGAGUUGUAGUAGGCUGACAACCAGCGUAAAACUAGUCAAUUUAUGAUGAAUCCUUCACCUCAUGAUUGUUGGGUUAUGAAGGGUGAUUAGGACGUCAUGCAAAAGUUUACAAUUGCAAAUAAUAUGAUUGAUAAAUUAGACGACACAUAAAACUAUACUAAAGGGCAUAAUAUUAUUAUAUGAUAGGACCAAUUGACCUAAAUAAUUAAAAACUAAUAAAAACAUAAAAACUGUUGAGAGAAAAUCUCUCAUAAACAAAACUCUUUAAAUGUCUACAUUGUGGAUAUUAUUGUGUUAUGCUAUGAGAAUAGGGAUCUUCAAUUUAUAGAUCUCCAAACUUUUCCUCCAAGGAAAGAAUAAACCAUUAAAUAUGGGAAAAAAUUUUGGGGCAUAAAGUACGGUUUCACCAAAAUCAUCUUUGUCAAACUUCCCAGAUUUAAUUUCAUCUCGAAUUAGCUAAAAAGAUUACCCAAGUCAAAAAGCACACCCAAAAGUAGGAAAAAUUUAGGCAUGGAUACAAGGACUACUCCAUUUGUUUCAUUUUUUAAAAACGUUUAAUAACUAGAACAAACAUACAAGUAGUUGACAAAAAGAGUAUCUGAUUAGAUAAAUGAAAGUACCUAAAGCCACAUGAUGCAAAGCAAAGAGCACUUGUCCUUAAUGAAAAAUGCACUUCUGUGUGAAAAACAUUCUACUUAAGUAUGAUAAUUUAGGUAAUUAGUAAGUUGGUCCAAAAGAGGUAGAAUUAUGACAUUACACUCUCAUAGGAGCAAACCUAAUAAAAAAUGAAAUGUCAACCACAAAUUCAGGAAGUCUUGGUUUUUGCGCUGGGAUUAACUCUUCAUCAAUCAAAAGCAAGUUUCACAAACAAAGAAGAUUAAAUCGUUUCCAGUGCACACAUACAAAAUAGUUCCUUGGAAGUUCAGAAUACAGUUCCUUUUUUAUUCAAAAAAUGGACAAUCCAGAAAUAGCAUAUUCAAUCGGUUCAAGAAACCAAAAAUAGAACAGAAAGAACCGACUGAAAGAGUUCAGUUUACUCAUUAUAAGAACACAGCGGAAAGAACUAGUUGAAGCGGGGGAAAUAAAUGUCAGCGAUUUGGAGACAAUUAUUAUUGUCUUAGAUGUAAAAGGAAGUACUCAAUGCCUUCAAAAAGGCAAUAUCAUGGGUAACUUGUUUGUUUACUCACUUUACCUCAGCUUAUUUAAGCGUGCAUAACAAUGUAAACUCACAACCAUUUAUGUGGUCGUGAGAUCAAUUCUUACUUUGUACCAAGGCAAUUUAUAAAACACAUGUUGAACGUGUGAAUGCUAUGGGCAAAUGAAUACUUUAUAGUCAUUGCCCGUUUCCUCUGUACAAAAAUAUUGGCCAUAACUGAUAUUACUCUCCUCAGAACCUACAAACCAAACCACCAAAGCAACCAAAAAAAAAAAAAAAAAACAGCCAUGGGGACAGAAACAAGUUCAACAUUAAAACUUCCUCUGUUUUCAGUAAAUUCAGCUGAGGAUUUAGGGAUGUUACCCCCUCUUCACACUUCAGCUUCAAUUCCAAUUUCGUGGGAAGAAGAACCUGGAAGGCCUAGCCCAUGUACUGACCUUAUCCCUCUUCCGAACUCCAUUAAUUUCCAUGAGCCCAAAUUAUGCUUAAAGGCACAUCCUAGGCUUUACAUGGAAUCUACCAAAAGUUCUUCUUCCACAACUCUUUUUUUUAUGGGGAGUGUCAAUGGUCAAAACACAACUUUACCAGCUUGCUUAUGUUUUCGUUCUUUUUGCAUCAAAUGUUUUCUCCAUCAAGAGAAACUAGUGAUGCAAAUGCGAGAAAUGUAAUAAUAAGACAUACCUUCCUGAGGAGAAUGGCAAUGUCAGCUUGAGAAUCUUCAAUGGACUGACUGCCACAUUCUGUACACCUAACAUUGUGGCUGAUAUUUCUUGCUCUCGUCUCUACUAACCUCUCCUUCGUCACCUGAGCCUCUUCCCCUUCCAUGGAAAUAUAUAAUCAAAUUUUCUGCUCAAUAACAAAGUUUCCAAACAAGCUGUAAACAAGUGAUAGAGUAACCAAAUAAGAACUUAAUCAAGAAAAUCCAAAUUUUCAGCUACGCAUUUUAUCAAACACCUCACAUGCACAGUACCCAACUAUACCAAUACAACACAAUUAUGCACAAAUAGUAUAUUUAGGGUAGCAAGCAAACAUAUGCAAUAGAAAAAGUAGCGAUUGAACUUUAACAACCAUCGGAUUUCACUAUAUUUCAGUCAAGAACACUUUCGGACCUCUAUAUAUGGAUUAUGCAACUUAGCAUGGCAGAAAAAAUAAAAUUAAAAAAACAGCAACAUAAAAUUCACAAAAAUAUCAAAAAGGGGAAGAAAAAUAUAGAAAAAAUCACCAAUUUGAAGCUUUCCUUUGACGAAAAAAAAAACAGUAGAUACCUGUGAUGGGAGAGGAACAAUAUGGCGAAGCUGGAAAUAGCGGGGCGGGUUGGACGGGCCAUUAAUGUUUGGGCCAAAUAUGUGUCUAGUGAUUAUGGGCCAUGGGCCUAUAAUGAUAGUAUAUGGGCCUAAAAUGAUUCUGAACCAAAUAAAUCACGCAGCCCAACAUUUUAGUCCGGAAAAACCCGAAAGGUUGGAAUUACACUGGUGGCGGCAAACGAGUAGAUAAAAUCAAUCUUGGUAUUCCCUCCGUUCCACAUUAGAUGGACACUUUAUAUUUUACAUGAUGAUUAAAAAUUAUUAAUAGACUGAUCGACUUUACUAUUUUGACUCUUGUUCAUAUCAAUGUACAUAAAUAAGUUAGAUAAAAUAUACAUAGAGUAUAGGAAUAACUAGUAUUGAGAAAUGUUUAAACUUUCAAAAGUCAUAUUGGUCGUAAGGGUAAAAUGAGAAGAAAAAAUUAAUUUUAUCAUAAUUUAGUAAAUGAUCAAGUAUAGUGGUCAUUUAAUAUGGAAUGGAGGGGAUAACAAUUUCUGCAUAUCAGCUGUUUAUACCUAAUCACACCAACUAACCAUGGUUAAGAAUUUAUGAGCUGAUAAUUUAAAGUAUUUACUUAUAUAUCAGCCUGGCCCGGAUGAGCUUGUUGGUUUGUGGGACUUGUGCAAUAUGGUUUGAGGCUUUGAGUCAGCCUGUGGGCUAAAUAAAAUAUAAUUAAAAAUUAAAAAAUAAAUGGAAUAUUAAAAAGAGAAUUUUUUAUAAUUGACAUACAUAAUACUAAAUAUUAUUAGUUAUGACAUUAUUCUUUAUGUUUCAAGUUUUAACAUUUAAAAAUUACAGGCUAUUUAAAGUUUGAAAUAUUAAAAUUUAGAAUCAUCAAACGUGAUGUACUCAAUAUUUCUAUUACUACUAAUCAUCAUUCAAUAUUGAUGGACAUGUACUCACCAAGUAUAUAAGUUGCAUCUAUCAUGAAAAUAUUCAAACACUUGUAGCUACUCGAAAUCAGUUGCAUGAUUUUUCUCAAACCGAUAACAUUUUUCUUUGUAUAUUUAAAUACUAUACGUAAUUCUUAAAUUUAGUUAUUUUUUAAUAUUUAGCUAAUUGAUAUUGCAUAUAAACUGUAUAUUAAAAUUAAGAUAUCCUGUCGAUAUUUAUGUUAAUAUUUUUAAAUUAUAAUUUGAUUUAAAAAAAAUAUACAUUUUUUAAAAGUGAGAUGACCCGAUACAGUUCGAAGCCCACGUACUGGUUGGUUGGGCUGAAUGUUUACUUGCCCACAAAAAAAUGAGUCAAUCUAGACUGACUCGUCAAUUUCAAGACUUGUAUGGGCUAGCCCGAAUGGGACGACCAACUCAUAUUGAUAGCUCUGUUUGAAAUGUUUAUUCUAGGAAAAACUACAUAAAUUCCACUAGUUUAGUAUUUAAUUACUAAGAUUUUUGAUAGUUUUAAAUAUUACUUUCUCUACCAUAUUUCAUCCUUAGGAUACAUGAGUUUGAAUUCGCAAGAUACAUGUAUUUGCCGAAUGUGCUUAAUUCUGUAAAUUUAAAUUAAUCAAAUCCCUUAAUAUAAGACAGAAAUCAAGGAGUGUAUCUAUGUUUAAUUUAUUUUAUUUUAUUAUUCUUUGAGAUAGGAGUAAUAAAUUUAUUAAUAUUAUUACUAAAAAACAAAAACAUGUAUUUCAUGGUCAUGUAAUUUGAUUAAUUUCAUUUUAUUACUUUUAAAAUAAUAAAUUCAUUGAUUUGAUGAAUUUAUUAUCAAUUUAUGAUGUAUCGAACAAAUUAAACACUUAGAUACAUGAGUAUCAUACAAGUACAUUCAUAUGUAUCAUAGAAGUAUCUAGUAUUAAUUUCAUGUAUUUGUUAUAUUAGCUUCAAAGGGGAAGAGAAGAGAUGAUUCAAUCUUUAUUUUUGAUGGAACUUUUAAUUGGGUUUGGGUUAAGGGAUGUGGGUAUGGGUCAGGUGGGUAGGAUAAAAUUUUGGUGGGUUGAUAUUAAAAAUUAUCCAAUAGAAAGAUGCCACAUAAUAAUUAAUAGAAAUAAUAAUUCAAAAACAAAAGGCUGUUAGUUUUAAGGGUAAUAAUGGACCAAAAAGAUGGACUGAAGGGUAUUUUUAGCCCAAUAGAUGAAUGAGGGAUAUAUUUAAACCUUUUCUGAUAGUUCAAGGAUAUUUUUGACACUUUUCCGUAUAUAAAAUGGGAAGAGAUAUAGAAAUAUGUGAUGGUGAGUCAUGCUUUUUUCUUGCAUUUACUAAUCAGCAGCUGCUUCCACUUCCCCAUCAUUAUUCUGUCUGUAGAUUCAGCAGUCCUCGAUUUUUUCGUCUUUUUUUUUUCAAUUUUGAAUUUGCGUUUCUCAUAGUUUUACUUCUCCAUUCAUCCCCAAUUCCUCUGAUUAAUAACCUCUAGUAAGUGAGGAGAUGGAGCAAGAAAUGGCAGAGUUUCUUCCUCUAAACCGAGGAUCUAAAAUGGAGGAUUCAGAGAGGCAAACUUUUUCUCUGAUUCCAAUUAAAAGUAGAAAGAAGGGUGGACUAAUUACCAUGCCUUUUAUCAUAGGUACUGGAGUAGUUUCAAAUAUUUUGGGGAUCUUUUUUGUUAUGUUUUAUAAUUAAUUAAGUUUAUUUUGAAUCAUUUCAGCAAACGAGGCACUGGAGAAUGUGGCGAGCUAUGGACUUUUACCAAAUAUGACAUUUUAUUUGAUGAGAGAAUACAGGAUGGACAUUACUACAACUCAAAAUCUUCUGUUUUUCUGGUCAGCUACUACUAAUUUUUUGCCUAUUGUUGGAGCUGUUGUUGCUGAUUCAUAUUUAGGUCGAUUCCUUACUAUUGGCCUUGGUUCCAUCUUCAGUUUCCUGGUAUAUAACUUUUAACUUAAAACUAAUAUGUUGCUAAUUAGUGUUUUAUAGUUUCCGAUCUUCUUCUUCUCGUUCGGGUCGAGGUCACCAGUUUCUUGUCUUUGUCUGUGUGAUCUGUAUGAUAGGUCACUGUAAAAGCUUGCGCGAUAGCAAAUAUUUGUUGUAAUUUUUGUGAUUUUUUGCGAGUGUGCACCCGAAAAAUAGGUUCAGUUGGACCUGUUAACUAUACAGUAUAUGUGGCUAUUCCCAUAAAACAAGAGGAUUGUAGUUAAGUUACCUACUUUUAACACUUCAAUGCCCUCUUGUUGCAGGGAACAGUAGUGCUGUGGUUAACAGCAAUGAUUCCGAAAGCAAGGCCUCCGCCUUGCGAUCAAUCAGGACAGGCUUGUAAAUCUACAACGACAUCACAAUACAUGCUCUUGGUUUUCUCGUUUCUGCUCAUGUCAAUUGGUGCUGGAGGUAUAAGACCGUGUUCUUUAGCCUUCGGUGCUAACCAGUUUGACAAGGGAGGUAGUAAUCCCAACAAGCAUACGGUGUUGGAGAGCUUCUUUGCCUGGUAUUAUACUUCAUCCAUAGUCUCUGUUCUGAUUGCCCUGACAGGUAUCGUUUACCUUCAAGACAGACUGGGGUGGAAAAUAGGUUUUGGAGUUCCUGCAAUCCUAAUGUUCUUAUCCGCGCUGUUUUUCUUCCUUGCUUCUCUGUUUUAUAUCAAGCCAAAGGUUCGCUCAAACGUGUUUGCCAGCUUUAUACAAGUACUUGUCGUUGCCUGCAAGAAUAGGAAACUCCGCUACCCCAAUCAGAACUCUGAUUACCAUCACAAGAAUGGUUCAGGACCUCAAGUGCCAACGGAUAAAUUGAGAUUCUUAAACAAAGCUUGCAUCAUUAAAGGCCCUGAAGAUGUUAAGCUAAAUGGAGGUGCAGCCAAUCCAUGGAACCUUUGCACAGUGGAGCAAGUUGAGGAGCUAAAAGCCCUCAUUAGAGUCAUGCCAUUGUGGUCGACGGGGAUCAUGAUAUCAAUAAACUUGAGCCAAAGUUCAUUCCCUCUACUACAAGCACAAUCCAUGAAUAGGCAUCUAACUAAAGGAUUCCAAAUUCCAGCAGGGUCAUUUGGGAUGUUUAUGAUGAUUGCGUUAACAAUUUGGGUUUUUCUCUAUGACCGAGUGAUGCUUCCAUUGGCAUCGAAGAUCAAAGGAAGACCAGUUCGUCCAAAACCUAUAGUCAGAAUGGGAAUUGGCAUAUUCAUCUCUUGCAUAUCCAUGGUAGUCUCUGGUAUUGUGGAACACGUUCGACGAAGAAGAGCAAUCAGUGAAGGGCUCUUGAGCAACUCACAUGGGUUGGUGGAGAUGUCAGCAUUGUGGCUCAUUAUACCAAACAGUUUAAAUGGGAUCGCAGAGGCAUUCAGCGCGAUCGGCUCCACAGAGUUCUAUUAUUCGGAGCUCCCAAAGAGUAUGUCAAGUAUUGCAUCUGCUCUUUUAGGACUGGGAAUGGCAGUGGCAAGUCUUUUAGCAAGUGUGAUUUUGAAUGCUGUGGAUAAGUACACCAAAGGAGAAGGGACAGAAAGUUGGGUUUCAAGCAAUAUCAACAAGGGACACUAUGAGUAUUACUACUGGCUUCUUGCUCUAUUGACAGGUUUUAAUCUGCUUUAUUUUGUGGCUUGUUGCUGGCAAUAUGGACCUUCUGCUGAUGUUGACAUCACUAAGAGAAUGAUGGAGCUUAGUGAUGAUGAUGAUCAUCUUUCAUAGUAGAAUGACUCAGGCAAACUCAACUGACAAAACUCAGGUAAACUCGGUGAAAUGCGCCAAAUUAUGCUAGUUUACCACAGUCAAAUUAUAAAUUGAGAUACUAAUAUAUACUUAUGAAGCUAUAAAGCUUAUGAAAAAGAUGUGUGGUCUUCAGUUAUUGAUUUGAUGCCUGUUUAUGGUUUGGAGGUGAGCAAGGGUUGGAACAACUCACCUUCCCCAUAGCAUUCCGAGGCAGCGAAUCGAGUAGGUAUCUGUUACAUAAGUUGAACGACAAACAUUAGUUUAGCAGGCAUAUCUUGGUACUCGAGUAUUACAUUUAUCUUGCAUAAGAACCAAAUCACAAAACAAUACUUUCUGUCCCAAGUUAUAGUUAAUCAAUAUCAACAGAGUAAGCGCAUAAAUUCCUUAUCCCUGGAAUGGAAGCAGAAAGAAGUCAUGGAAAUAAUUAUUCUCGUUAAGAAAGAUUCAAAAGGGGAAUGAGGCAAGAAUAUGCCUUCUGAAAAGUUUGCAUAAUCUCUUGAUAACAAUGAUAUUGUAUAGGCAGAUGAUAUUCAGAAUAUCGAUUGGUAUUGAAAGAAGUAUCAAUGAACAUACGUAUCAGCUAGCUCUAACUUUAUUAAGGACAACGGAAUAGGAGAGUGUGUAGCAUCCUGGUCCAACAGAGUAUGCUGUGUGAGAUAUUCAGCAAACAGAACAGAUGGUACUCCAAGAAUACAGAGUAGUUGUCAUAGAUGCAAAUAUCCAUCAACCUCCAUUAAGAGAUUAAUAAGAAUAAGAACACAAAUGGAAAAUGUCUAACCUAAUACAAAGAGCAAAGAAGCCUAAUAAACUACACAAUAGAAUUUGAAAAUGCAUUAUAUUUCCUUCAUUGUUUCUGAUUCAUUUAACAGUCAGAAUUAGUUAUUCCAUAAAGGAUUACUACAAGUCUUUAGCACCCCACCCUAC